AGGUCUCUGUAUGUCACAACUGGAUUGCAGUGGCUAUUCACAGGCACGAUCACAGCUUGCAGCAGCCUCGAACUUGUGGGUUCAAGUGAUCCUCUUGCCUCAGCCUCCUGAGUAGCUGGGACUACAGCAGGUGGCUGGCACGUGCGAGGCAGACACUGGCCAGAUCUUCUGAUGUUUCCACAGAAGCUGAGCACGCAGAUUGUAAGUAAAGCUACAAAUUCAAAAAGUGACAACUACGCCUCAAACUUUUUUAUACUAAGCAAGAGAAAAACCAAAAAAUUAUACCUGUGGAUCAGAUGCAGCCCCUCAACAGCUACUUGUUGGCCUCUUCUCUAAGGAUCAUGGAUGGAACUUCUGUUAGGUUAACGUGAGCCCAGGGAUCGCUCGGGUUGCAUACUCACCAUCUCAUUAAUCAUCCUGACAACCCCGCGAGGUAGGUGUUAUUAUCCCGUUUUACAGAUGGGAAAGCAGGCUCAAGAGAGUCACUUGCCAAGGCCAGGGGGCCAGGGAUUUACCUGCACUGAGCUUCCAGGGAGAGCAGGGGGUGCGGCGGCUUUGAGGAGCAAGAGCGCCGGGAGCAGGGGGCUGCACGGAGAGGCUGCGGAGGGCCAGGAGCGGGCUCUGCUUCCAAGAUCUUCGAGUGAGUGUUGGUCCCUAGCCAGAGCGUCCUGGCAAUUUGUUAACACUGGGUUGGACCAGAGGACCGCUGCCAGGCCUUGCAACCUCGUGAUUCUGUAGUCGUCAUGGAUGGUGCAUUUAUUGAGACAUCCCUUGAGCCCCGGCGCUGGAGGAGCCUGUGAGAGAGGCUGAGAAACCAAGAAUGCGAAGGACACGGCCCUUCCCAGGGGCUCGGACUUGGGGCCGGAGGCAGAAGCACUAACAGCGCGUGGGCAGUGGGGUGACUGAGCGAAGGGAGGCUCGUGCAGGAGCUCUGGGGACCCCGGAGAGGCAGUGUUUAAUCUCUGGGGGAGGCCCAGGUCCUUCCAGACAAGACGGCAUCCGAGGUGAGCCCUGGACGGCGAAUCACCUUCCCUGGCGGCCCUAAGGAAGUGCCACAAGCUGCAUGGCUUAAACCAACGGGAUGACCGACUCCCAGUUAUGGAGGCCGGAAGUCGGAGUUCAGGGUGUUGGCAGGGCCAUGCUCUGUCUGCGGGCGCGAGGGAAGGAUCUGUGCCCUGACUCUCGCCUGGGUUCCAGUGCUCAGGCGUCCCCUGGCUGUGGGUGCGCCACUCUCACUCUUGCCUCUGCCGUGUUCUCCGUGUCUUCACGUCAGCCUCCCUCUGGGCACGUCUGUCCCUGUGUCCACACUGCCCCUUUGCAUAAGGACACCAGCCAUGUUUGAGUAAGGCCCACCCUCAUGCCCUCAUCUGGACUUGGUUAAAACAGCAGAGAUCCUAUUUCCAAAUGAGGUCGCUCUCUGAGGUGCUGGGGGUUAGAACUUCAACAUAGCUUCUUUUAGAGGACACAGCUCAACCCACAGCAGGGGGCCAGCGCGAAUUUGACCCAGGAGAGGGGAGAAGGGGGUCUUCAGGCCAGGAGGAAAG